rnacentral:lncRNA from 1 species
GCUGGAAUUACAUUCCUGCCUUAAAAGGGCUUCCACAGGGCAGAGCCAUAACGCAUAUGCAGAACGCAGGCUAAGGAAGUCCUCGGGGAGGAGAGAGUAUCUCAGAGGGGCAUUGGAAAAUCCUGGAGCCCAGAAAGGUGAAGCAAACUGCCUGAGGUCAAGCCCCUAAUGUGAAGUGGAGCUGCAAUGUCUACUCAAGAGUGUCUGACAUCUGCACUUUUUACUCUGCCAGUAAGAAGACCCUCACCAGAUGUGGCCCCUCACUCCUGGACUUCCAAGCCUCCAGGAUCAUGAACUAAAAACAUUUCUAUUUGUUAUAAAUUACUCAGCCUCAGGUAUUGCUAGAGCAGUAGAAAACAGACUGAGAAAGGCUAUGUCUCCCUCCUCAGACUGAAGGAUCUUUGUGAUCAGAUGCUGUGUCUAUAUCCUUUGUUCAUUUGUUUGAUAUUUGCUGAGGACCUUUUAAGUGCCAGGCACUAUUCUAGAUUCAGAAUACUAUGUUGAAAAGACAGACAAAAUCACUGGUCUCAUGGAACUUACAAGUUAGUUGCGACAAAUGACAAUAAACAACAAACAAUUUUAGGUUACAAUAAGUACUAAGAAGCAAAUAAAAGCAGCAUAAUCGUCAUGGUAGGAGUGGGGUGUUAACUGAAAUGCGUGACUGAGGCAAGAGUCUCAAUCAAUCAAGGUUUAUUAAGCCAGAGCUUGAGGGUAUGUCUUGGAAAA